UCUGCAGUGUGGGCAGGACAGAAAGCUUCCGGUUGGGCCAGGGACUGGGAAGGUUUCUGGUGGUAGGAGGAAAAUAGGAACCAAUCCACUCCAUGGUUUUCUGCUUGGCUUCCUCCCAGCUGAAGAGCGGCUUAUACCCCAGAUCCCGCUGAGCUUUCUUAUAGGAGAAGCCUCCCUGGGAUACCAUACCCUUCAGAUUGACAUUCAUGAUGGUCUCUCGAUGAAGGACAUUCAUGACAUCAAUGACAGAGGCAGUGUGAAUGACAACCGAGAUGCCCUGGCAAGCUCUCUUCAGGCACUGCUCAUCCAGAAUGUCUCCUUCCACCAUCAUCAAAUUGAUCUUGCUCUGGAGCUCUGUGUGAACACAAGUCAGGUCACUGGAAGGUUUUCUGGAUCUGGAAGUUUCCCGUUAAAGGGGGGCAUUUCCCCAGGUCUUCAAGGACAGGCGGGCUCAGGUCAACCUAUUAGUUUGCAGGGGUUCAGAGAGACCAGAAGAGGGCGCUGCCGAUGUGUCGGUGGUAGAGGCGCAGCUCCCGCCCGCCCCAAGGCUCUGCGGAUUCCUGCAUUCUGCGCAGCUCCAACUCUCCCUUGCUUACGCGGUGUGGGCUGCCUUGUAGGGAGGCCCUGAGAGAAGCUACUAGACGAAUUAGUGGCUAAGAGCACAGCCACUGCACUUAGACCUUCUGGGUUCAGUUCCAGCGUUGUCAUUUUUCAGCCGGGGGACCUUGAACAAGUUAGCCUUUGCAAUGGUCUGAGAGUUUGUGUCCCGCCAAAUUCACGUGUCGAAAUCCUAAUGCCGCUGUGAUGCUGUCAGGAGAUGGGGCCUUCUCUCCUUCUCCGAAGGAGACCGGGUCAUGAGGGGGUCCUAGAGAAGAGAUCCCAGAGAGAGCCCUCUACAGCAAGAAGACACAGGCUCUGAACCCCGAAGGGAGCUCUCACCAGAACAUGACUCUGCUUUGCUCUUGGAUUUCUGCCCCCAGAGCUGUGAGAAAUAAAAUAUCUAAUAGGUUUGAGCCACCCAGCCUGGGGUAUCUUUUUGUAGCAGCCUUAGCAGACUAAGACACCCUUCUGUGCCUGCUUUCUUGUCUUUAAAAAGAGGAGGAUAACAUUACCUAUCCUCCAGGGAUGGUACCAGGAGCAAAUGAAUCGACAGGCGUAGAACACGGAGCGCAGUGCCUAGUGUAGACAGACCGCUGUGAGGAUUCUCCACUGGGAUCUGUAUAGAGCCCCUGCCUGCCCCGGACGCCCCCUGACUGGUCACACCGGGGAACCGUCUUUUGGGCUGAACCUUGCCUUUCUCCACAUCGGCUGUCAGACUGUGAGUAUUACUGAGACGAAAAGAUCGCAAACAAUUGAUGCUGAUCGUGUAUGUUCAUGUGUGUUCAUCAGAGGCCCCGUUGAAGCAAAGGGUAGAGGAAAUAGGAUGUGUGAGAUGUUCAGAGCACAGGAAUGAGGAAGAGAAGAGUGAUGAGUGCAGUCCUGGAGGGAGGCUGCGGGUGUGGGAGGUUCCGUGUGGGGAG